rnacentral:rRNA from 1 species
GACGAACGCUGGCGGCGUGCCUAAUACAUGCAAGUCGAACGCAGUGGGGACGGGGGAGUAACACGUGGGUAACCUCCCAUCAGAGGGGAUAACACUGGGAAACAGGUGCUAAACCGAUACGGAUGGCUGGACCCGCGGUGCAUUAGCUAGUUGGUGAGGUAACGGCUCACCAAGGCCACGAUGCAUAGCCGCCCGCCGAGGUGGUGCUGCCACCCGUCGACUGAGACACGGCCCAGACUCCUAAGUGAGGCAGCAGUAGGGAAUCUUCGGCAAUGGACGAAAGUCUGACCGAGCAACGCCGCGUGCGUGAAGAAGGUUUUCGGCUCGUAAAACUCUAUUGUUAGAGACGCGGUAUCUAAACAGAAAGCCCCGGCUAACUACGUGCCAGCAGCCGCGGUAAUUC